CUUUUACAAUUUGUGCCUCUAAUGUUAUUUCAAUUGAAUAUUAAACCAUUUUUUUUAAUUGUGAAGUUAAUACAUAAUUUUUUUGUUUAAACAUAAUAGAGUAAUCGUCUUAAUCAAUAUAUUCUUGGAACCCAAGUUACUCGUUAUUAUGGAUGUCAGUUUAAGAUGAAAGAUAAGUGAACAAAAGGUGACAGAAUAUUGAGGAAAAAUUUUCAACAUCUUGAGAUGAUUUUCAAGUGAAUUGAACCCGUAUUUAGUUUUUGGUAACAAUUUGAUUAAAUAAACUGUCAGCCCGUAUAAUCACCAAAAAAACCAUGAAAAUGAUGAUAACUCUUUACCACAUUUACCAAAUUUGUAUAAGUACAUUAUAAGAUGUGGCUUUGCUGGAGAUGAAGAUGGUGGUGGUUCAAGUUUCCCUUAUCUUUACUUGAAUAAUAAGGGUCGAUUCAAGUGGUCCAACUGUGCUGAUGUGUUGACAAAAAUGUUAAAGGACAAACUCAAAUCGGUGAUUAUUGCUGAGGAAGUCUAUCAACACAAUGUUAACAAAGAAGACACUGCUUUUCAUUUUUUCAAAGAAAUGAGGCAUAAAAUUGGACUCGAACUUGAGUUAGCUUCUCUAAUGUGGUCAUCUUAGGAUAUAUGGACUUUAAGGUUUCAGUCAAACACUUGAAAAAUAUCAUCAUCUGAAAAAACUUCAUCCAAAAUAUUAUCCAGAAUCUGUCACUCAGACAAAGUAGUAUUUGGAUACUACAGACAAAGGACUUCGUUCAGGCUGUUUUGAUUACGUUUUAUGAUGUUGAACAUUUCAUUUGAUUAGUUUAUUGUGAUUGCUUUGUUGAUCUGCUUCUAAAGUGAAUUACAUCUUGUUUUGUAUAAAUGUUUUGUAUCAUUGUUAAUGAUCAAGCAAAGGUCUCUGAGAAAAAAGGUGAAUCAAAAUUGAAAAUUCAACAAAUGGUUAACCAAAAUUGAAUUGUGACACAUUCAAAUUACGCUGGCAACAAAAUAAAGGCAACUACUCAAAGCAAAUUGGAUUACAGUUUGGAUUGUACUUUGCUUAGGAUCUAAAGAUGGACUAACUGAUUUGACUACUAACCCUUUCUUAUGAUUUGGUUCAAGCUGAUUGUUAAUUUGAUUUUGACCAACUAAUAUCUGAUUGAGUUUGUCCUAAAAAGAUAAAACUAUAAAACUAAUUUGCUGAUGCUCUGUUGGAUGGUAAUUCUGAUGCUUGGUUUAGGUGUUGCUGCUCAUUGUUGACCCACUGUAUAGGAGCUUAAGCUCAUAGCAUCUGUUGAGUGGAAACAUAAAAGUAAUUGACAGAGAAAUUAACAAAUCACGAUGGAAUUGGAUUAAUGAAGUUACUCUUGAUGUUACUAAUGGUACUAUGGAUGAUCAUCUUCAGCUGUAACCAUCUAUUACAACAAAGACCAAGAGGGUGAACCUUUAAUGAUUUGGCCUGAUAUGGUUAACAGUUUGGAUCGUUCAUCAUCUGCUUUUUCCUGUCUUUGUUUUAUGCCUUUUUUUACCUCGCCAAGUUAAUUGUUAGAGCAAUAUGCGAAUACAACAUUUAUUCCCAUCUUCACUAUUCUCAUCCUCAUCAUCUUUCCCUUGUUUCCCUUGUAAAUUAAGGUAACUCUGCUUCCUUUAGGGUUCCAGUUAACUAAUGAAUAACCAUAGACUUUGGCUAUUUUCUUUUCCUCUCUUCAUCGUCGUCAUCUUCGUCUCUUCAAUCACCAUCAUCUUCUGUUACAUUUUACUUUGACAUAUUAUCAUCAAGCAUCCUCUUGUUCAUCAUCUUCACUAUCAUCAUCGCCAUCUUCAACAUCUCUCAUAGUGAUUGAUCCAUUUCCUUUCUCACUGGGCAUUAACCACAACAUGCAUUCACUUUAAAUGAACCUUGACCUGGUAAUUAACAGAUCAUUAUUCAUCAAGUUACUUUAAUAAUAGUCUUAACUGUUGUUAAUCAGUCAUCUUAUCCUUACAUUACUUGUUACCUUAGCUCACAUCAAUCACAAUUAUGUAUUUGUUUAAUCAUAGGUAUAAGGUUAAUGGCCGUUAGGAAUCAAAAUGAGACAAUUUGUAAGUUUUUGUGUUUGUAUCAUAAUUUUUAAGAUGAAAAUAUUUAAUUUUUAA